GUAGGUGAACCUGCGGAAGGAUCAUUAACACGUAUCCACGUCACCUGUUGACAUACACCAAACCUAUUGUUUAUAUAGCAUUUGGAACUGAUCGUCCUCGCUCGUUACGAGUGGCGGCGAUUGGAACCGGUACUCGUGCACCAUAUUUUUUUCCUGUCCCCCCCUUCUUUUAACGCCUUGACUCAAUUGUAGUAUAUUUCAUCUUCGUGAUGGGGUAUAGUACACGUUUGCUUCGUAUGUUCACUCAUGCGUCUCGAAUGACCUAUUUCAAAUGGACUGAUGCAAGCAUCUAAUGUGUGCUACCAGUUUUUGACUGGUGCUCAUAUUGGUAUGUGAUGACACUUAUAUAGUAAAAUAUAUAUGACAUAAUCACAACUCUUAGCAGUGGAUACCUAGGUUCUC
rnacentral:misc_RNA from 1 species